UCGGAUAUGGUGUAACGGCUAACAUUACCGCCUCUCAAGGACUUCAGUCCUGGACGCGGUAGCUCGGGGUUCGAUUCCCCGUAUCCGAA